CCUUCAGAAUCUCCUGCAAGAUAAGGCUCCUGAACAUUUGGCUUUUGGGGAGGGGGUUGUAAGGAGGAUGAGGCAUACAUAAGGCAUCAAAGCUUUCUGUGGCAUCUUAGAAGACUUCAACAAUUGUUAACGACCAGUGUCUGUCAACCUGGACUUUAGUCCACAAAAGCUUAUGCCAUAUAAAUAAAUGUGUUAGUCUUUAAGUUGCCAUGGGACUCCUUUGUUGUUUUUGCUGCAACAGACUAGCCCUGCUGGAGGGGGAAAAAAUACAUAAUACAUGUUACUUUCAUGGUCAGCAACUUAUGCCCGGAUCCCAGUCUUUUAAUUAAAAACCUUUUAUUUCCACAAAUUUAUUCUGCGGUCGUUCUUCCAAGAUCUGCCUUGGAUUUCUAAUGGGGAAUGUUUUAGCAGGAAUGUAGCCUUUUGUUACUAUGAAUAGUUCAGGGCAGAUUAGCUGUGCGCCAAUUUCCUGUUGCUUUUCAGAGCUGCAAUCUGAGCCCUAUUUGCUUCUGGCGCUUGCACAAUAGAAAACAAUGGGUGGCUUCUUUCAGGUUUCACUUCAGAGCUCUUAGGAACAGGGGAAGUGGCUAAAGCCCUACUUUACAGGCAGUUGUACAUCUUCUUGCACAGUGCCAGCCAUGCACCAGAGAAAGACAGAAAAAAGGACGAGGAGCUGCUUUCAAGGAGCAACUGAGAGAAUACUAAGAACUACUCAAGCAGAGAGAAAAAAUAGAGGAGAUGGAAGAGCAGAGAAAUGAUGAAGAAAACAGAAUUCAUAACGGGACAGAAUAUACAUGGAAUGUGAAUGGAAACUGAAUGUGGCUAUUUAAACACGAUCUACCUAACGAAACAAGAGCCAAACAGCCCUCUCUGUUUCCCCACUGCCAGUUAGCUCCACCUUGGACCCUGGCCAACCCAGGAAUUGCCAGAAUACCCUGAGCACUGAUCCUCUCCUGAGAUUUUCCAGCCCAUCACUGUCAAGGAGGACAGCCAGCCACAGAGGAAGCAUUCGAGUUCUGGCAGCACUUUUCAGACAUCCAGCUGCAAUAUGCAUCAAACUGCUAUUGAUGCAGUCUGAUGCAGAAGGUUGGAAGAAGCAAUUGUUGCUCUAUGGGUCUCAAAGGAUAAGAGCAUGCCUACAAGGCAGCUGACUGCAGUCACAUUUUGACACUGUAGCACAUAAUCAGAUGUACUGAGUAAGUGGUCCUGGAAAAAUCUGGAGCCUUUCCUCUCAGCACGAAAUGUGAGAACUUGGCCAUGCACUGAUUUUGCUUGCAGUUGUCUUCAUCAGAUGUAUGAAUCGGAUGGAGACUAGCUAGGCUGAAAUCCCUUGCAGGCGGUCAUUGUAGACCUACUACAGCAAGUAAAACAUGUUAAGGACCCAUUGCCAUUAGUCCAUAAGUUCUGUUCAACCAACAUCUGAAUGGCUCUUUUCAUCUAAGGCUGCUGACCUAAGUUGAUCACAGCUUUGAAUAUUUCCUAAUACUUUAGCAAACAAUUCACAUGAAAGUGAGUAGGGCUGAAUAGUGCUUAACUUCUCAUUAAACCAAUUUGGGAUUGGGUUCUACAAUGAGAAACUGAUCCUUUCGUGUCAUUGGCCCCGUCUGGUGGAAUACUCUUGCCAACAGAGAUUCAGUGGGUGCCUUAUGUGCCAACUUUUAAAUGUCUGCUGAAAACUUUUCUAUUCUGCCAGGCCUAUGCAGGCAAUUAAGAGUACAUCAAUCACAAUGGUCUGUUGAUGUCUGCUUUCAAUUUCUUUUUGCCUUUAACUUGUUUUUAACUUUUUAUGAUGUUAUUGUUUGGUUUUAUGUUUUUAUAUUGCAAACCGCUAUGAUAUAUGAUAUCUAUUUACGAUACAGCAGUAUAUACACAUUUUUUUAUAAAUUAAUGACAUAUUUCUUGAUGACAUUUAGCUGGCCGAGGAAAAUAAUUAUAUACAGUGGUACCUUGGUUCUCAAACUUAAUCCAUUCCAGAAGUCUGUUCCAAAACCAAAGCGUUCCAAAACCAAGGCACGCUUUCCCAUAGAAAGUAAUGCAAAAUGGAUCAAUCUGUUCCAGACUUGUAAAAACAACCCCUAAAAGAGCAAUUUAACAUGAAUUUUACUGUCUAACGAGACCAU